AUGGUUCACCAGGUAAGAAGUAUCUUUUGAAUAUACUUUGUGAGAUUUGAACUGAUUGAUUUUAUCUUUGGAAAAUCUCUGGCGGACACUAUGGUUAGCAUGCAUCCUCAAACUACCGUCCUUUCGGCUAUAGUGAUUCACACAUGGUAAUAACAUAGACAAGCAAUUAAAAUGGAAGUGAUGCCAAGAAAAGUGACUCCUUUUUGGUCAUUAAGGAUAUCCAGAUGAUUCAAAUAUUAUAUGCCUGAAGUUCUCUCUUGGUUUAGUUGUUCUGGAAUCUAUAGGUUGACAACAAUAUAUUAGUAGCACAUCUUGUCAUUACAAACACCAGUCACAUCAUUCAACUCCGUUACCCAACAAAUUCAUGUGUAAAGGCUGAAGGUUUGUUUUGUUUCAUUGAUAUUCCUAGGAGAUAUAGCCAGUAAUAUGAUGAUACAUCUUUUUCUUGGCGGAGAUGAAAUAGGUCUUCUUUAUGUUGCUGAGUUGAUCAUGAGUUUGUACACACAUUUUUUGAUAGAUCAUAAGGCUCACACCCCGCUCCCUUUAUUAAAAUGAAAUGUCAGUAACAUCAUUCUUUUAAGCGCCUGCAACUGCCUUAGCAGGCUGAACAACUCAGCAGACCAAAUUCAGUUUAACACAGCCCAAAAAAGGCUCAGCAAAACUGAAUGGAUAUUACGCUCCUGAGAUAACAGCUACGCUUCUUAAAUAGCAGCUGUAAGCUUUUCUUCAGAACAACAUCUUGAGCAUGGUCCUGGACCCCAUUGCCUCCGGCGUCCCAGGUCCUAGUAGACCGACAGCCCAUCAGUUCUUCACGCUGCACAGAGCCAGCCAGGGAGUUUCCCUCGCCUUGUCUUCCGUGAGUAGGAGACACUACACUAGUGUUCUGAACAUAGUUUGUGAAAUUUUAACUGUUUGAUUCUCUCUUUGGAAAAUAUCUGGCAGCCAAUCUGGGCAUGCACCCUGAAACUACUAACCAUUCGGCUAUUGGGAUUCACACAUACUAAUAAUAAUUUGUACACGCAUAGCUGAUCAUGAGUUUGUACAUGCAUCUUGUUCAUAUACUAUGUUACAUAGGUGCUUCUGUUAAAUUUUAUCUUUAUUUGUACUGGUUUAUGUGGAGAUUAAUUCUUUUGUGUUCUCCAGGGUGAAGAAAGGGCUCCUGCAGUUUUUUAUUAUCAAUGAGUUUGUCGUGCAUCAACGUGGUCGGCAGCAUUAUGUUAUCUGAAGAAAACUUACCAAGUGUGCACUUUAGUGUAGCUAAGUUUCUAAUGUAGCAAGAUGCUUUUGAAUACCCUUGUAUUAUUUCAAGUCGGAUUUCGUCGUCUGUUGCUUUAUGCAUGUGCUUGUGCGUGGCAGCUAUUCUCUUUAGCCAUGACAAUUUCAGCCUCGUGUAUCAGCAAAACGUGUGUGUUUGAGUGUGCUUCUCAGCUGUGGUUUGAAAAGCAUGUGAGCGCUGUCGAUCUAAUGCGAUCAUGAUCCAGCCCUGCUUCCUCCUUUUUUU
rnacentral:lncRNA from 1 species